UUUGCUAUCAAGGUUAUCUCUUUUAUAUUAAGUAUGUUAUAUAUUUAUGCAUUGUCUUUUGAUAUUACACUUUAUUUGUAGCUAUAUGUGGGAUUUGACUUCUAAAACCCACAUAUGGUCCUUAUCUGAUUUUGUCCUUAAAAUCGGGUAUUACAUAGUAAAAAGUAAAUGUGUGGCUCAAAGUCUAGCAAGCAUGUAUAUAUGGCUGUGGUAGGAUUUCAAACUCUCAUCAUACAGGAAGUCAUCAUGUACUAUUUUAAAUAUUUUAAAAGAUAAAAUUCUCUAGAAUUCUAGCAUCUCUAGGAAGAGAUAAACAGCAGCUCAAUCUUCCCAUAUCAUAUCCGUUAACAACUUAGACUUCAGAUCAAGUUCUCUUCCCACAAGUUCAGAUUUAGUGCAAGCUUUAAAUUAUAACAGUUAUGUCUAAACUAGAGAGAAAACUUAAAUUUGAAAAUUAGGCAGAGCAACUAUUCAUCAUAUCCAUGCUAGAGUUUUAUUAUUAAGAUUCAGUUUAGCAUAGCCACUUUGUUUAUUUAUUAAGCACACUAAGCAAAAGAUAUAUAUAAGCACAAAAUCUUUAUUUGGUUUUUCAUAGUAAUGUAUAUUUUAAUAUAGUAUGAGUAUAUAGAUAGAUAGAAAUACUUAUCGGGAUAAAUGGGGGUGCUCUCCCCCAACCUGAAUUUUGACGUAAUUUCUUUUUUAUGUAACUAGCAGGUGGCAGAGGUGUAAUUGAAAGUCGGUGGUACCCUGACAGCGAUUAGGAUGUCCUCCAUCUGCUAGUCUUCUUUGAUCCUUAAAUUCUGUGGAGCUCAAAUAGACAACAAAGCUUUGUGGAACUGAUUAAGUGUUAGCAUAAAUAUCUAGCCUUUAUCAUGUCGAGACUCCUCAAUAAAUGUUACUCUCUAUUUUUAUAUUUUCAUUUUUAUAAAGUAGAAAAAAUUAUUUAUUUUAUUUUUAUGCCACCACGGUGAAUGUACUUAUGGGUUUUAUGCCACUUGUAUACUCACAUGGGGCUUACUAUUUUUUUAACAUUUUUAUUUUCUUUUUAAAAUGAUAUGAAUAUGAUUAACUAAGCAAACUAUUUUAAAUAAUUGAAAGAAAAAGGAUAACUACCAAGUUUACUCUCCGUUUUCUUAGUCGUCCUGGGAUUCGUUGGGUGGCGUAGUCGGUGCUUCCAGCGGCGCCUCCUCUUCGUGUAUAGUUAUCUUCUCUUUCCAUACCAGACUCGGUGCUACGGACUCCUCAGGAUAAUCUUGUUCAAGCUAUAUGUCUUCAGACCUUACUACUUCUUCUUCAUAGUCUGCCCAUCCGUCCUUGAUGAUUUGCCUCUUCUGGUUGCGGUUGCAUCGUCUUCUAGCGGCGUACCUUCUCUGAGGAGAAGUGCAUAUGGACUUCUCCAAUUCCAAUAUAGAUGAUUGCUUUAACGGUGCUGAGAAACGGUCUUCCAAGGAUGACGGGUGGAUCGUAUUUGUCUUCUCCCAUGUCAAUAACCUGAAAGUCUGUGUAGACAAAAUGAUCGUCUAUUUUGACAGGGACAUCAGUUACUAUACCUUUAACCUCUCGAAAUGUCUGAUCUGCCAUAUGGAGCCGAACAAGAGCCGAUAGGUGACUGCGGCCAUUAUGUUGACGCCUGAUCCGGUGUCGCAAAACGUCUUGUAGAAGUUGUACCCAUUGAUGGAGCAAUAGAUGCUUGGCAUACCUAGGUCGUCCUUCUUGGUCAGAAACGGUGACUUGAGUUGAUGAUCUUGACCUCCAUGAACUGCAGUGACCAUCUUAGCUGACUUGGUUCACACUUGCUUGUUCCUGUUCCUCCUGUUGGUCCUCUUCCUUGGUUCAUGUCGGGAUUGUUCUGGGAUUUGUGUACUCUUUUUCUUGAAGGAAAACGUCUCCUUUCUCCCUUUGAUGUAGAAACUGAUCUUGGCAGCACUAGCAUAGAUGACAGCUCCCGAGGUGUUUAAGAAUGGCCUCCCUAAGAUGACGGAUGCCCUCUCAUCAUUACUGGUCUCUAUCACCACGAAGUCUGCUGGGGCGUACAAGGUACCAACUCGGACACAGAGGUUCUUCAAUAUUCCUUUUGGGAAACUUAACGUCUGAUCUGCAAACUGCAAACACAUGGUUGUUUCUAAUAAAGGAUAUGUAAAGAAUUU
rnacentral:lncRNA from 1 species